rnacentral:lncRNA from 1 species
UAUUGUUUCACAGUCGAUAAACUUUUUGCUAAGGUAAAUUGCAUGCUCUUUUCGACAAGACUCGCCAUGCUGACCCAAUACACCUCAUAGACCCCUCGAAGGCCGUCAAGUACAGAUUGACAAUUGCUCUUUCCACAGGAGGUAUCAGAAUCAGAGGUUCCUGCAACUUAUCUUUUUAUUUUUCAAUGCCCCUUGGCAAUCCUUAUUUCACCUGACCGUUUGAUCUUUUUUUUCAACAUCUUGAAUAUGGGUUCACACGUGGCUGUUAGAUAAGAUGUGAACCAUGACAGGUAGUCCAAUCUUUCUAAGAAACCACGAACCUCUUUUUCUAUUUUUCCUCGGUUCAGGCAUUUUUUCUUUCUUUUUUUUUUUUUUUUAAGCAGGACCAACCUCGAUUCCUCUCUUAUAAUGAACCCCAACAUCUUACCGGAUCGCACUCUGAUAGUGCACUUACUCGAAUUCAACCUCAGUCUGAAUUAUCUCCACCAGAUGCCCCUCUUCUGUCUUGGACUUUGCUAUCAUGUCAUAGCAUUCGAUAUCAUGAUGAGUCACAUCAUGAAACAAAGUCACCAUGGCUCUCAGAUACAGGCACGGGCGUUCUGCUUCUCUAGAGGACAGUCUUCUUUCCAUAGUAGCUUGAGCAUAAUGAUAUCGGUAUCUGUCCCGGCAUACCCUGACAUG